rnacentral:rRNA from 1 species
AGACUCUGUGCGCGUGCAUAUCAAUAAGCGGAGGAAAAGAAACUAACAAGGAUUCCCCUAGUAACGGCGAGUGAAGCGGGAAGAGCUCAAAUUUGAAAUCUUAAAGGGUUUCCCUUUACGAAUUGUGGUUUAAAGAAGUGUUUUCUGUUGGAGUUUUGGUAAAAGUUCUUUGGAAUAGGACAUCAUAGAGGGUGAGAAUCCCGUAUUUGAUCACUUUCUACUAACGUUGUGAUACACUUUCAAAGAGUCGGAUUGUUUGGGAAUGCAGUCCAAAAUGGGUGGUAAAUUUCAUCUAAAGCUAAAUAUUGGCGAGAGACCGAUAGCGAACAAGUACCGUGAGGGAAAGAUGAAAAGAACUUUGAAAAGAGAGUUAAACAGUACGUGAAAUUGUCAAAAGGGAAGCGUUUGACACCAGUGUUGUUUUCUCGAAAAUCAAUUAAAAAUGGCCGGAUUUUGUGUUGUAUUGACUAUAUCAGCUUUCUUCACUCUUUUCUUGUCCUUUUUUAAUGCACUUUUCGUUUAACAAGUCAACAUCAGUUUCUUUUGUUGUAAAAGAGUCAUUGGAAGGUGGCUUUCAUUUCGGAUGAAAGUGUUUAUAGCCUUUGAUCUUCUGCAAUCGGAGAGAUUGAGGUCUGCAGCGUAGAUCCUUCGGGGUUAGAUACAGUUUGUGCUAAGUUAUAGUUUUUCAUAGACAACAUGUUGACUAUGAUUAGUCAUGUAGCUUACUCGCUGAUGCUAUUUUACCUACGCUUAGGAUGUUGAACUCUAUCACACACAG